rnacentral:rRNA from 1 species
CAGUCGCCACGGGAAUACGAAGGGGGCUAGCGUUGCUCGGAAUCACUGGGCGUAAAGGGUGCGUAGGCGGGUCUUUAAGUCAGGGGUGAAAUCCUGGAGCUCAACUCCAGAACUGCCUUUGAUACUGAAGAUCUUGAGUUCGGGAGAGGUGAGUGGAACUGCGAGUGUAGAGGUGAAAUUCGUAGAUAUUCGCAAGAACACCAGUGGCGAAGGCGGCUCACUGGCCCGAUACCGACGCUGAGGCACGAAAGCGUGGGGAGCAAACAGGAUUAGAUACCCGCGUAGUCCCUGUCUCUUAUAC